AUUGAACGCUGGCGGCAUGCUUUACACAUGCAAGUCGAACGGUAACAGGUCUUCGGAUGCUGACGAGUGGCGAACGGGUGAGUAAUGCAUCGGAACGUGCCCAGUCGUGGGGGAUAACGCAGCGAAAGCUGCGCUAAUACCGCAUACGAUCUAUGGAUGAAAGCGGGGGACCGUAAGGCCUCGCGCGAUUGGAGCGGCCGAUGUCAGAUUAGGUAGUUGGUGGGGUAAAGGCCCACCAAGCCAACGAUCUGUAGCUGGUCUGAGAGGACGACCAGCCACACUGGGACUGGGACACGGCCCAGACCCCUACGGGAGGCAGCAGUGGGGAAUUUUGGACAAUGGGCGCAAGCCUGAUCCAGCAAUGCCGCGUGCAGGAAGAAGGCCUUCGGGUUGUAAACUGCUUUUGUACGGAACGAAACGGCUCUCUCUAAUACAGAGGGCUAAUGACGGUACCGUAAGAAUAAGCACCGGCUAACUACGUGCCAGCCGCCGCGGUAAAAC
rnacentral:rRNA from 1 species